AUGGACUGGCCCUGAAGGGUUCCAAAUCCAAGGUAAAGCUGAGGACAGGUACCCUUUGAUCCUGUCAUGGGGCUGAGGACAGCCUGAGUCAAAAAUAUCAGAAAGCGUUGAGAAGCAUAUAAGAAGGAGAAAGCAGCAGCUAUUCAAGGAGAA